CAGUUUUAGCCAAACGUGGCGAAGUGAUAAGAACUAUGAACUGUAUACUGUGUAUUACAAAUUGUGAACUGUGAACUGAAUUGUAACAUAUUCACGUGGUAGAUGGAAUCCUUACUGCCCUUAUUGAUGCCGACAGAAAAGGCAUCGCGCGGUGAAACUAUUUUUAAUAAGAUAUAAACUGAUAGGAAGGACUAAGAAGUCAUGAGUAAAGUUUACGAUACUAAAAUAUUGAAUUAAUAUCUACUGAACUACUUACUGCUUAAAUUGUGAUACUGAAUACUAAAUUAUACUAUUUAUGAAACUGGUUAUG
rnacentral:lncRNA from 1 species